rnacentral:tRNA from 1 species
AAUUAAUGAGCUUGUAAAAGCAUUUGUUUUGAAACCUUAAGAAAGAAUUUAAAUAAUUCUAUUAAUUU